rnacentral:rRNA from 1 species
GAUGAACGCUGGCGGCGUGCCUAAUACAUGCAAGUCGAGCGAAGCGGGGACGGGUGAGUAACACGUGGAUAACCUCCUAUAAGCCUGGGAUAACUUCGGGAAACCGGAGCUAAACCGGAUACUUAUAGUUGGAACCGCGCUGCAGUAGCUAGUUGGUAAGGUAACGGCUUACCAAGGACACUAUGCAUAGCCGACCUGAAAGGGUGAUCGGACAGACUGGAACGGAGACCCGUACCAGAAUCCAACGGUAGGCAUAAGUAGGGAAUCUUCCGCAAUGUGCGAAAGCCUGACGGAGCAACGCUUCGUGAAUGAUGAAGGUCUUCGGAUCGUAGAACUCUGUUAUUAGGGAAGCGGUACCUAAUCAGAAAGCCACGGCUAACUACGUGCCAGCAGCCGCGGUAAUUC